rnacentral:rRNA from 1 species
CCUACGGGAGACAGCAGUGAGGAAUAUUGGUCAAUGGGCGAGAGCCUGAACCAGCCAAGUCGCGUGAAGGAUGACGGCCCUACGGGUUGUAAACUUCUUUUGUCAGGGAGCAAUUUGGUCCACGCGUGGGCUUAGCUAGAGUACCUGAAGAAAAAGCAUCGGCUAACUCCGUGCCAGCAGCCGCGUUAAUACGGAGGAUGCGAGCGUUAUCCGGAUUUAUUGGGUUUAAGGGGUGCGUAGGCGGAAUAUCAAGUCAGCGGUAAAAAUUCGGGGCUAAACCCCGUCGUGCCGUUGAAACUGAUGUUAUUGAGUGGGCGAGAAGUAUGCGGAAUGCGUGGUGUAGCGGUGAAAUGCAUAGAUAUCACGAAGAACUCCGAUUGCGAAGGCAGCAUACCGACGCCCAACUGACGCUGAAGCACGAAAGCGUGGGUAUCGAACAGGAUUAGAUACCCGUGUAGUC